rnacentral:rRNA from 1 species
UACGUAGGGUCCGAGCGUUGUCCGGAAUUAUUGGGCGUAAAGCGCGUGUAGGCGGGAUAGCAAGUCGGGUGUGAAAGCCCUCAGCUUAACUGAGGAAGUGCGCCCGAAACUACUGUUCUUGAGUGCCGGAGAGGGUGGCGGAAUUCCCGGUGUAGAGGUGAAAUUCGUAGAUAUCGGGAGGAACACCAGUGGCGAAGGCGGCCACCUGGACGGACACUGACGCUGAGACGCGAAAGCGUGGGGAGCAAACAGG